GUGGGGUGCGGGGACAAUGGGCCAGAGCUUCUCAUGCAGCCUGCACCAGCGCCGGGUCGGAGAGUCAGAGGCCACCCUGAGAUGGACCGAGAUCUUCAGUUGGGGAGGCGCCUCCGGUGAGCUUGCGGCCAGAUGCCCCCUCAGUAGUCCUCCGCAACAGGUGCCGCGCAGCCGAGUGGCGGGCUAGCAUACCGCCUGCCCGCAAUUCGGCCAGGCCUCGAGCCUGCUCCGCCUUCCCGCUGCGGUAGCGCCGCCGGGGAAACGCCGCCACGGGCUGCAUGGGCAGCGCUCGCGCCCCGCCGCUGAGCCGCCGGGGAGCCGUCCAGUCUUCGAAUCCCAGCCUCCAGUCGGAUCCUGCGUCAUUCUGGCUGCCUUGGCCUUUCCUUUCCUCAGUUGAGCCAGGAAACACAAAGAUGGUGCAGACCCAGGCCCUGCUUUGACUGGGAGAAAGAUGCAUUCAGUUGACUAAAACUUGAAGCUUGGUGGCAUGCAUGUUUAGUCCCAGCUACACAGCAGGGAGGCUGAGGCUGAAGGAAUACUUGAGCCCAGGAAUUCAAGACUAGCCUGCACAACAUAGUGAGACCCUGACUUUAAAAUAAAUUUAAAAAAAUUAAAAGCAACAAGACUUUCUGCUUGUAUAUGAUGAUGUUAGUAUGCUGACUUACAAGGUUAGAUCAUUUUGAUAUGUGUGAUGUAGGUUUUCAAAGCUGGCACUGUUUUAUGCUUCAAAUAUUAUUUUUAUUCAUUGGUUCUCAUGGGAUUUCAUCACUAAGCUGUAAAUCAAUAAUCAUAAUGUUGAGGGGAGGGGAUUACAAAAUAGCUCUUCAAAAUCAUCUUUGCAUUUCUCAAUAAACAGCAUUCCCUUUUGGACUACAGUGAAAAAUAUUGAGCUUUGUUUACUUUGAAAAUGAGUCUUAGUCUAUGAAUGCCUGGGUAGGGUCAAGAAUGAAAAAUGAGAGGAAGAGAGAAGCAUCAGGAAGAUAAAAUGAUCAAUCUCACAAAACUUGCUAUUUUUAGAAAGCAUCAUUCUAAUUUUGAAACCAAAAAAAUGGGGAAAAACAGAGUAAUGGAAUAAUAGAAUGCCUCAUGUACAAAAGCAACAAUUUCAGAGAUGAUCUAAAACAACUUAUUAGUUAUAGGAAGAAAUAUACCUGAAAAGGGCAAAAAUAAGUUGGGUUUGGCCUCUUGUCACUGAAAUUAUCUACUAAAUCUAACAGCAUCUAUGUUCCUUUAGCUGUUGUGUAUAUUGUACACAAAUGUGAAACCAUAACUCAUAUUUUACCUAUAACAAUUUGCAAUAAAUAACUAAUUAUGAAGGCUUGCAUGUCAUUUUUGAAGACCUUGUAAGUCUAAUUCAAAGGAAUUUUCCAAGAAAAAUAUUGGGAGGUAGGGUUAUACAUUGACAUAUAUAAUUAUACACCUAUGCCAUAUAUAUGUAUGUAUGUGAAUAAUGAACACACAUAGGUAAUUUGAGAUUGAUUCCUCUAAAAAACUGUGCUCACCAGGUGUGGUGGCUCAUGACUGUAUCCCUAGCGCUUUGGGAGGCUGAGCCAGGCAGAUCACUUGAGGUCAGGAGUUUGAAACUAGCCUGGCCAACAUGGUGAAAACCCAUAUCAAGGGUGUGGUGGCAUGCACCUGUAAUCCCAACUUCUUGGGAUGCUGAGGCAGGAGAAUUGCUUGAAUGCAGGAGGUGGAGAUUGCAGUGAGCCGAGAACGCAUCACUGCACUCUAGCCUGAGCAACAGAGCAAGACUCAGUCUCCAAAAAAUAAUAAUAAUAGUAAUAAUAAUAAUACUCGGAGCUUACUAAUUUUUAUAGGUUUCUUAAAAAAUAGUUCUAAGUUUUAGAACUCCAUGUUUUAUGUGAAUACUGAGUUAUUUUAUCUCUAUUUAUUAGACUUUCUUUUCCCAUUUAAUUCCUUUAGCAUUCUUGCCAAAAAGCAACAUGCUAUAUAAAUGAGGGUCAGUGUAUGUCCUCUUUAUGCAUUGCUAAUUUGCCUCUAUGUAUAAUAAUAACAGGACCUCUGAAUUCCUGAUGUUUACAGUAAAUUCUGGGAUUACACAACCUCCUGUAUAUACAGUUCUUUUUCAAUAUCAUGUGUCUCUUCUUGGUCCUUCACAUUUCCAGAUAAUACUUAGAUAACACUUCUCCAUUUCUGCUUAAAAAUCCUAUCAGUAUAAUGAGAAAAUUUGCAUUAAAUAUAUCAACCAAUUUGAGAAGGUUUUGUAUUUAACAACAUUAAGUCGUUUAAUCCAUGCACGUGGUAUAUAUUCCAAUUUAUCUCAGUCUUCUUAUUUUCUUUUUUUUAUUAUUAUACUUUAAGUUAAAGGGUACAUGUGCACAACGUGCAGGUUUGUUACAUAGGUAUACAUGUGCCAUGUUGGUCUGCUGCACUCAUCAACUCGUCAUUUACAUUAGGUAUUUCUCCUAAUGCUAUCCCUCCCUAGCUCCCCACCUCCCAACAGGCCCUGGUGUGUGAUGUUCCUCGCCCUGUGACCAUGUGUUCUCAUUGUUCAGCUCCCACCUAUGAGUGAGAAUAUGCGGUGUUUGGUUUUCUGUCCUUGUGAUAGUUUACUUAGAAUGAUGAUCUCCAGCUUCAUCCAUGUCACUGUAAAGGACAUGAACUCAUCCUUUUUAAUUCAGCGUUCUUCUUUUCUUAAAAUCGUGCUAUGUGGAUUUCAGUGGUGAGAUCUUGGAUAAUUUUUUUUUCUUUUAAAUAUUCUGGCCAGUCAUGGUGGCUCAUGCCCAGCACUUUGGGAGCUGAAGUGUGUGCAUCACCUGAGGUCAGGAGUUCAAGGCCAGCCUGGGCAACAUGAUGAAAGCCCGUAUCUACUAAAAAUACAAAAAUU
rnacentral:lncRNA from 1 species